AAACCAACAGGGAUUGCCUUAGUAGCGGCGAGUGAACAGGCAAGAGCUCAGAUUUGAAAGCCCUCGGGCAUUGUAUUCUGAAGCCUUGGUCUUGAGAAUCGGUGUUUAAGUCUUCUGGAAAGGAGCGCCAUGGAGGGUGAUAGCCCCGUACGACACCACUCUCAUUGUAGGACUUUGGCAUGGAGUCGAGUUGUUUGGGAAUGCAGCUCAAAUGGGUGGUAUGCUCCAUCUAAAGCUAAAUAUCUGCGAGAGACCGAUAGCGAACAAGUACUGUGAAGGAAAGAUGAAAAGAACUUUGAAAAGAGAGUGAAAAAGUACGUGAAAUUGUUGAAAUGGAAGGAUAGGCCGCUAACCAUGUAGGGUCGUGUUCGAGGGGAAGAUAAAAGCUGAAGAAUGUAGCUCCUCGGAGUGUUAUAGCUUCAGUCCAUAUUCCCUCUCGAGCGCGAGGAUUGAAGACUCUGCUAAAUGGUGGUCUAUCAC
rnacentral:rRNA from 1 species